rnacentral:misc_RNA from 1 species
UAAGUCCAGAGUCUGGAGAGAAUCAGAAGGCUACUAUUUUAUUUUUAAUGGAAGAGUCCUGGACACCAAAGGGAGAAGAGGUGAAGUAGACCAAGAUUUCAACAGUUUCAGUGGCUGUGUGAGACCCUUCUGAAUUCGCACAAGGAUGGCGAGGUGACCGGCAACGAUGAGAGCUGAAAUAGGUGGCCGGAAUCUUCUUCAAGUGCCGACGCAUUUAUCGGCAUCAGAAUGGUUGUUUCGGCACAUGGGGGUUCUUGUGACAGAAUCUGAUGUCGGUCUUCGAAGGGGUGACUCGCCGGCGGCUAUUGAUUCUCCCUAGAUCCGUGGUGUGGUCCAACUCGCUCAGGAAAUUGACCAGCUAAAAAGGGUAGCAGUGUUUUCUUUUAGGGACUGAAGAACCAUCAAGCCACUUUUGGCUUUGAUGCCAUGAAAUUUAAGAAGAAAGAGAGGUAUUUUCGUGAG